GUUAAACGGCCGCGGUAUUCUGACCGUGCUAAGGUAGCGUAAUCACUUGUCUUUUAAAUGAAGACCCGUAUGAACGGCAUCACGAGGGCUCAGCUGUCUCCUCCCCCCAGUCAAUGAAAUUGAUCUGCCCGUGCAGAAGCGGACAUAAAACCAUAAGACGAGAAGACCCUAUGGAGCUUAAGACAAAAAGCCAAACAUGUUAAACGACCCAUAAACCAACUGGAAUAAAAGGUAUUUAAGCCCUAUGUUAUCUGGCCAGAAUGUCUUCGGUUGGGGCGACCUCGGAGGAAAAAUAAGCCUCCGCAUGGAAUGGGGAAACACCCCUAAAACUAAGAAAUACAAAUCUAAGUAGCAAAAACUUUGACCAACAAUGACCCGGACUCCGUCCGAUCAACGAACCAAGUUACCCUAGGGAUAACAGCGCAAUCCCUUCCCAGAGUCCAUAUCGACGAAGGGGUUUACGACCUCGAUGUUGGAUCAGGACAUCCUAAUGGUGCAGCCGCUAUUAAGGGUUCGUUUGUUCAACGAUUAAAGUCCU
rnacentral:rRNA from 1 species